UGGAGAGUUUGAUCCUGGCUCAGGACGAACGCUGGCGGCAUGCCUAAUACAUGCAAGUCGAGCGGAGUUGUUUUGGAAGCUUGCUUCCAAAACAACUUAGCGGCGGACGGGUGAGUAACACGUAGGUAACCUGCCUAUAAGACUGGGAUAACUACCGGAAACGGUAGCUAAUACCGGAUAAUUUAUUUCUUCUCAUGAAGAGACACUGAAAGGCGGAGUAAUCUGCCACUUAUAGAUGGGCCUGCGGCGCAUUAGCUAGUUGGUGAGGUAACGGCUCACCAAGGCGACGAUGCGUAGCCGACGCGAUCUGGUUGACGGCCACACUGG
rnacentral:rRNA from 1 species